AGAUUCCCAAGCAUGGAUAAUAUUACAAGGGAGAGAGCAAUAAAUGGCAAUGGCAAUGUACCCAUGUCAUCUCACUCUCGACGGACAGCAUCAUGGAGUGGAAGUUUCAAUGAUGCGUUUAGCCCCCCAAAAAUGGUGGAAACCAAACCUUUAGGAGAGGCACUGGGCAUGCCUCCUUCAUCUUUCAUGCCUGGUGAUCCUUCUAU
rnacentral:misc_RNA from 1 species